GACGAACGCUGGCGGCGUGCUUAACACAUGCAAGUCGAACGGAAAGGCCCGGCUUUUGUGGGUUGCUCGAUUGGCGAACGGGUGAGUAACACGUGAGUAACCUGCCCUUGACCUUGGGAUAACUUCAGGAAACUGGGGCUAAUAUCGGAUAGGAGCUCCUGCUGCAUGGUGGUGGUUGGAAAGUUUCGGCGGUGGGGGAUGGACUCGCGGCUUAUCAGCUUGUUGGUGUGGUAGUGGCUUACCAAGGCUUUGACGGGUAGCCGGCCUGAGAGGGUGACCGGCCACAUUGGGACUGAGAUACGGCCCAGACUCCUACGGGAGGCAGCAGUGGGGAAUAUUGCACAAUGGGCGGAAGCCUGAUGCAGCAACGCCGCGUGCGGGAUGACGGCCUUCGGGUUGUAAACCGCUUUCGCCUGUGACGAAGCGUGAGUGACGGUAAUGGGUAAAGAAGCAACGGCUAACUACGUG
rnacentral:rRNA from 1 species